UGAAUCGGAGUCAUGCCUUUCAGC
rnacentral:siRNA from 1 species